CAUGCAGUCGAGCGGUAACAGGGGUAGCUUGCUACCCGCUGACGAGCGGCGGACGGGUGAGUAAUGCAUAGGAAUCUGCCCGAUAGUGGGGGAUAACCUGGGGAAACCCAGGCUAAUACCGCAUACGUCCUACGGGAGAAAGGGGGCUCCGGCUCCCGCUAUUGGAUGAGCCUAUGUCGGAUUAGCUAGUUGGUGAGGUAAAGGCUCACCAAGGCGACGAUCCGUAGCUGGUCUGAGAGGAUGAUCAGCCACAUCGGGACUGAGACACGGCCCGAACUCCUACGGGAGGCAGCAGUGGGGAAUAUUGGACAAUGGGCGAAAGCCUGAUCCAGCCAUGCCGCGUGUGUGAAGAAGGCCCUCGGGUUGUAAAGCACUUUCAGCGAGGAAGAACGCCUAGUGGUUAAUACCCAUUAGGAAAGACAUCACUCGCAGAAGAAGCACCGGCUAACUCCGUGCCAGCAGCCGCGGUAAUACGGAGGGUGCAAGCGUUAAUCGGAAUUACUGGGCGUAAAGCGCGCGUAGGUGGCUUGAUAAGCCGGUUGUGAAAGCCCUCGGGCUCAACCUGGGAACGGCAUCCGGAACUGUCAAGCUAGAGUGCAGGAGAGGAAGGUAGAAUUCCCGGUGUAGCGGUGAAAUGCGUAGAGAUCGGGAGGAAUACCAGUGU
rnacentral:rRNA from 1 species